CCCGCGCAUCGGACGGGACUUCCCCCUCAGGCGAUCGUUCCUGCACUGGAGCAGGAGCCGCGAACUGAGCCGGGUCGGGCGGGAGACCGAGGCCGGCGAGGAGCGCCGCUCCAGGAGCCUGCGCGCGCCCUCACUCUCACUGGCUCUCGCCAAGGACCACGACAGCUUCCUCUACAUUUGAGGCGUCGCAGCUGCCGACCCUCCAACUGUACCAAAGAUCGGCGCCGGUGGUCGCACCCCUGCUCAGAACCUCGCGCGGUCC